ACCAUCCAAUAAUAUAUAUAGCCCAAUAAUAUAUGUAGAAAGCAUAUUUUCACAUAUUAAAAUGAUAUUUUUACAUGAAUUUCUCUCGCAUAAAAGUAAGAUCACUCACUAUUCAUGUGCAUGUGAGAGGUAUAUUUAGUUUUUAUUUAAAAAUAUCAGUUCCCUAUAUGUAUACAAGUCCACGGACAUCAGCUUCCAAAUCCUCGAGCUCGAGGGGGCGGAAGAAGGCCUUCUGCUCCAGUACAGUCUUCACUAGCACUGGCAGGCAAGGAGAAGAAGCCUGCAGCUUUAUUUUCCGGGCCAAACACUCUAAUAUUUGUAAACUGGGGAUGGAUUACUUCGUCCAGGACGAGAUGCAACGCCCUCCUGCACAUAGCAGAAUGUAUAUUAACUUGAUUGCAAGAUGAUAGUUUCCAAGAAAAUAUAAGCAGCUAGGAUAUAGUGGGCGCGGUAAUUAGGGGAUAUGCUAUCAUUUUACGUACAAAAUCUACCACAUUAUGAAUAAAUAAUGCAAAACUAAACGAGCCUAGCUAGUAAUGGUAACUUCAGAUCAUGAGGCACUGCGAAGGUAUGCGUCACACAACAACAUCAAGAUAUUCGGGCACAUAAUAUUGAUAGUCAUGGAAUUAGCACGACACCUAAUCUGAUUACCAUAUUAAGAAGCUUCUUGAAAUUAAGAAGCCAAAUUUAGAACACCUAAGCACAUAAUUAAUUCUCCUAAAGAGAAUUAUAGUACAAAUAACCUCAACUACAACAGUAACUUGAUAAAUAUUACUGUAAUAAUUCAAUUUCCAACAUAUCAAAUGCACCACCCUGUGACAAGCUUGCAACCAUAUAUAUGAACAAAUUAAGCCGUUGAUAAAUUUUCCUAGGCCAUGGUUAAAAUCAGAAGGUAAGAUGCCCAUCGAUAAAGGAACAAAAACAAAAAGUAAGCAUUCUCCUUUUAUACUUGCUGUUAAUAUAACCAUAAAUAAACAAAAGGAAAAAAAACCUUAAUUUUCUCAAUUGAAGCCGGUUCAACUUGUAAAAAUUACGGUAAUUGAUCGAGCAACCACAAAAGUUUGGCAAGUUUUAUUUUUUAAUUUUAAUUAACAUUCAUCAAUAUCAAAAAAAUUCACAAGCAUCCCAACCACUAUUAAAUUGAGUGAUAAUUAAAUCCUAACAAUCAAAAAUAGAUUGUUGCUUAGACAAAAGGAAAGAUGACUAGAACCACACAUGUUUUGUUGCUGCAACCAAUGCCACCCUCUAAUUUACCAAAAUGAUGACUGAACCCUUAUCCAACUACAGACACUUCUGCAAGGAUUAAUAAAGAACAGAAUCCCACAUAUAACCCUUUACGUUCAAUCUCGAGGUUAGGUAUAUCCAUAUAUACACAUACAUUAAUUGCUCAACCACCGAGUACGGGCGUCGAACGAAAUCAUAAUUAAUGGGAGUGGUUAGCAUGAAGUAAACUUUAGUCAAUUGACCAAUACAAACUACAAUGUGAAGGCCGGGAGGCAAUCAAUUAACCAUCAUGGUAACUGGAUCCAUAAUAAUUAAUAAAUAUGGAACUACCAACUACAAAGACUGAUCACAACAUUUGAAGGGCAAAAUGCCAUUCACCUUAAAAUGGAAAGUAAAAUGAAUUACAACAUAAGAUAUCGACUUUAUGAUCCUGAUCCAAAAUUUUGUUUCUACAAACACUACCAAAACAGCAUACUCCAUUGACGAUCAUGUUCUAGCAUAUUAGCUACAAGCCUACAACGGUUGGUGGUACUUUAGUUCGACAUUUCUCAAUAAUAAUUAAACUAAAACCAAUAAAUACUCUAGUAGUUCUAUAAUUAUCACAAAUUCGGACGAAUCAAAUUAAAGCAUAAUUAUAAAGGAACUAAAAUUCGAAAUCACCAAAAUACACAUUAAUAGCUCGAAAUUUUCUCAAACGAAUCAAGUAUUAGUACUUGAGAGAUGGAGGAGAAACAGGUCGGGAUGGAUGGAAGAAGCUUCUGCCGCAGAUCUGGUUGAUGAAACGCUUCCAGAAGCCGGCGAGUCUUUGCAAAUUGGCUGCCAUACAAGACGAUACUACUUAUGAUUCAUACUAUACAGUUGAAGAAGUGAAGAAAGGAAGGCUCCGGUUAUUGUCGUCUUAUAUAUCACGUACAAGAUUGUUGAUGGGCUCUCGACUCCAAAAUUUGAAUUUUAUAUAUAAAAUUUAGGUAAGGUUAUAUUGGACUCGUUUAAAAUUCGAUUAAUCGAUUUUUCGAUUAUGAUUUGAUAUAUAUUCGAUUCGAUACCCAAUACAUUCUCUUCCAAUAUAUAUAAAGUUAAAUCAAAUUAGGAAGAUUAACUAUUAUAUUAUUUUAUAUUUAUUUUAAUUUGAGAUUUUAUAUUUGUAAAGUGUAAUAGUAAAUAUAUUUUUUAAUUUCUAAGUAAAAAAUAAAUUCAAUUUAUAAUUAUAUUUAUUAUAAAGCUGGUUAUUAUGUGAAUACUCGAAUUCGGGCUUGAAUUCGAAGUUCACGAGUAGUUUGAAUAUAAAUCGAUUCGAGUCGGAUUGAAUUUGAGAAUUUGAGUAGAGUUUUUCAAAUACAAUUCGAAUUCGAGUCAAAUUCGAUGAUGAAUUUAAUUUUUCGAGUCGAAUUCAAACAACUUUAUGAUCGAUUCAAUUCGAUUGGUUUACACCGUUAUCUAUGUGUCCCUCUAUUCUCUAUCAACGUAUGCUUUCACCAUACACUAUUGAUGAGUGGGUUAAAACUUACGAAUUCGGUAUUUCUUAACUUAGUAUAUUGUUAUUUCUCGAGUAUUGCAUGUUACUUUUUAUGGUUUUUGUGUUAAUUUGCAAGAAAGAUACACGAAUGGGCUUGAGAGCUGAAAAGGAGGAAAAGAUGAAGAAUUGGACAAACUGGCAGAGUGGAGCGCUGCUGUUACACUGGAGAUGGCGCGCCAGAUAAAUGAAACAUUUUCUAGCAUUCCAAGAGUAAUAAACAUAACAGACACUAUCUGCAAGCCAAAUUAUGAGCAUGCAAUGUAAGAUCCAUCUAGAAGGUAAACAACAAUGUGGGGGUGGGGGAGGUGAUGCAGAACAAGGUCUAGAAUGAUUUAAGGGAUGGGAUAAAGGAGGAAGAAAGAAGGGGAAUUGGAGGAAUUGGGGAGAACCGGUGAAGGAUGCCUGAAGGACAUAAUGGCACAAAGCCUUUAUCUCAAAAUUUAUAUUCAACUCCUUUGUAAAAUGGUUGAAACCUAAGUAAGCAUCAAUUAAUUACUCAAACAAGGCAUAAAACAUGACCUCAACCUCAAGUAUUUUUCACAUCUUUAUCCAAAAUCAGAUUGUACCAGCUCCUAGUUCCAGCCCCCGGGGGAGGAAAGGGUACUAUGAGACCAGUUCUUCAGACAUUCCUUAAAUUAUCAUGUAACUACUUGUGUGUAUACAUUAUACAUAUAUUUCUAUUUUAACUUUAAAUUUUAACAGUAAGAAAUCAUCAGGAAAAUUACAUUUUACGUAUACAGUAAAAACCUUGACCUGGCUAACAAGUUUAGACGGAACUUUCAUUCAAAUAAGUAUAUUCUGAAAAAUUUAAUGGUUAAUCCAAGUAGUUUUAAAUUUUAAUCAAUGCCACGUGAUCUCAUAACUUCUUCCCUCUCUGAUAUAAAUUAAAAAGUCAGGUAAUUCAGCUGAAAUAAAAAACCCUAAAUAGAUUAUCUAUUCAGCCUAAUUCAACAUACAAGAGACUUGAAAAACUUAACUAAACAUAGCCUUCCCCAGCUAGAGGGCAAUCAAUAUAAUAUAAGCAGAGCUGCUGAGAUUUUGUCAUCAAGAUAACUGAGAUUUUGACAUUUAGAUAACUGGUAUAAACCCUAACAAAAACUAACAUAAUAAAGAACUAAAAAGGGAAAAAAUAUAAACAAUUAUUGAACAGGAAAGAGAUGUACUCGCAUCUUACUGUUGCCAAAGAAGGUAUCAAAGAGUUUGCGAAUGGCUUGUUCCAUGACCGCCUUUGAUUGCC
rnacentral:lncRNA from 1 species